GGGGGCUUCGGCCCCCGGCCUUAAUGCAGCUCCCCCAGGGGGAACGGUCGCCAGCCCGUGAAAAUGCAGAGCGAGGC
rnacentral:ribozyme from 1 species